AUGAACGCUAGCUACAGGCUUAACACAUGCAAGUCGAGGGGCAGCAUGGUCUUAGCUUGCUAAGGCCGAUGGCGACCGGCGCACGGGUGAGUAACACGUAUCCAACCUGCCGUCUACUCUUGAACAGCCUUCUGAAAGGAAGAUUAAUACAAGAUGGCAUCAUGAGUCCGCAUGUUCACAUGAUUAAAGGUAUUCCGGUAGACGAUGGGGAUGCGUUCCAUUAGAUAGUAGGCGGGGUAACGGCCCACCUAGUCUUCGAUGGAUAGGGGUUCUGAGAGGAAGGUCCCCCACAUUGGAACUGAGACACGGUCCAAACUCCUACGGGAGGCAGCAGUGAGGAAUAUUGGUCAAUGGGCGAGAGCCUGAACCAGCCAAGUAGCGUGAAGGAUGACUGCCCUAUGGGUUGUAAACUUCUUUUAUAAAGGAAUAAAGUCGGGUAUGGAUACCCGUUUGCAUGUACUUUAUGAAUAAGGAUCGGCUAACUCCGUGCCAGCAGCCGCGGUAAUACGGAGGAUCCGAGCGUUAUCCGGAUUUAUUGGGUUUAAAGGGAGCGUAGAUGGAUGUUUAAGUCAGUUGUGAAAGUUUGCGGCUCAACCGUAAAAUUGCAGUUGAUACUGGAUAUCUUGAGUGCAGUUGAGGCAGGCGGAAUUCGUGGUGUAGCGGUGAAAUGCUUAGAUAUCACGAAGAACUCCGAUUGCGAAGGCAGCCUGCUAAGCUGCAACUGACAUUGAGGCUCGAAAGUGUGGGUAUCAAACAGGAUUAGAUACCCUGGUAGUCCACACGGUAAACGAUGAAUACUCGCUGUUUGCGAUAUACGGCAAGCGGCCAAGCGAAAGCGUUAAGUAUUCCACCUGGGGAGUACGCCGGCAACGGUGAAACUCAAAGGAAUUGACGGGGGCCCGCACAAGCGGAGGAACAUGUGGUUUAAUUCGAUGAUACGCGAGGAACCUUACCCGGGCUUAAAUUGCAGAUGAAUUACGGUGAAAGCCGUAAGCCGCAAGGCAUCUGUGAAGGUGCUGCAUGGUUGUCGUCAGCUCGUGCCGUGAGGUGUCGGCUUAAGUGCCAUAACGAGCGCAACCCUUGUUGUCAGUUACUAACAGGUUCUGCUGAGGACUCUGACAAGACUGCCAUCGUAAGAUGUGAGGAAGGUGGGGAUGACGUCAAAUCAGCACGGCCCUUACGUCCGGGGCUACACACGUGUUACAAUGGGGGGGUACAGAGGGCCGCUACCACGCGAGUGGAUGCCAAUCCCAAAAACCUCUCUCAGUUCGGACUGGAGUCUGCAACCCGACUCCACGAAGCUGGAUUCGCUAGUAAUCGCGCAUCAGCCACGGCGCGGUGAAUACGUUCCCGGGCCUUGUACACACCGCCCGUCAAGCCAUGGGAGCCGGGGGUACCUGAAGUGCGUAACCGCGAGGAGCGCCCUAGGGUAAAACUGGUGACUGGGGCU
rnacentral:rRNA from 1 species